AUGGUCAGAAUGAGAGAUCAGGUGGCCAAUCUUAAAAUAAAUCAAUAUUGAUUAUUUUAUAGAGCGUUAAAGUUUUACGAAGCCAGGGGGCGGGGCUACUUGACUGAGAGUCCGGUCUGGAAUGAUUGACAGGUCCUAUGGAGGAGGCAGCAGAGACUCUGCUCUCCUCGUUUGGAUUAAUUCUGAUAUAAUAACUGUUGGUUUAUUUAUCGAUGGAGCAGCAGAACCUUCUCUACAGACAGUUUUCCUGCCCGUUGGCUUGUUUUAACCAGUUUUCUACCUUCAGCUGAUUCUACCAGCAGACACUGAAAGGACUCUGAUAGUUCGAGUGAAAGUAGCAGUUCCUCCUGAAGGUCAGAGAUUGCAGCAUCUGAGGGCCUCUUCAAAAGAAGACGUAGUUGAUGAAGGCGUUCUGGAGCAGGACCAGAAAGACCACGACCAAGCAGCCUUGAGAUCUUAGACAGCUUCUCCCUCAGGUCCCUCUCUAUCUCCCCACACAUCCACCAACCACUGGAACACAUCUCCAAAGUUCUGCUGGACCAGCUCAGCUUCCCCUCAGAAGAAGUGCUGCCACCUGCCAGAUGAAGGAGCCUUUUGAGAGGCAGCUGGCAUCGUGAUUGGACUGUACUUUGGUCUGUUCCAAUCCAGCUUCAGCUCCAGAGACGGCAGGCGGGACGAGUCAACGGAGGCCUGGUGGAGGAAGGCAUGCAGCUGAGUACAAUCCAGAAAACAACAGAGGAAGAAACAAACAUAGUGUAUACAUCAUAUACUGUAGAAAAGACACAUCCACUGUAGAAUUGUAGUAAUUGUGGGCUGACUGAUUUACUGAUUAGCAGUAUUUUAUUUUUUACUGAUUUACGGUAAUAAAUACAUUUAAAAAUGGCA